CCUCGGAGACAGCACAGAGCCACUAGCUCUUUGUGGAGGGACCAAGGCUGAGCCACUGGCAUAGUCCUCGGCACCCCCUCCUUGUGCCCUCCUCCAGGGCUUGGGAGAGCUCCUCACCCCCUCGGGUGGGUGGGGCCUGCUCACUUCCGGAUCCCUGACUGCUGGGACAGCCCAGGUGCCGGAAAGGGAGGUGGACGAAGAGCAGACCCCGCAGGACCUGCCCCAGCUGCGUUGAAUGAAUGAGAAAGAAGCCUAGUGGCUUGAAUCCGUCUGGGAUGUUUCCGGGCUGUUUGUCAGUGCAGCAGGUACAGCUUCUGACUGCUGCAGAAACGACUUCGUCUCUCUGGACUCUUCACUUUCCAGGAAGGGAACCCAGGACCUGGCGCCCAGUAGAUCCACCCCUGCCUCCCGCUGGUGUGGCGCCCUGAGCCCACGCAGAUGGCCCAGGAGGAUCUGCCCAUCUCAGGACCCGGAACAAAGACUCUUUUGCCGUGAGGCAGCACUCAGGCCCCAGGGUCUGCGGGUGGCGUCUCUCGGGGGAUCCCACAGCAAGCAGGCAGCACACCUGGGACCCGGACCCUGGUCUUCUCAGGCUCUGCCGCACUGGACGCGCCCACUUUCCGCUCGCAGCUCUCUAGCAGCUUUGGGUCCAGCAAUUAGGUGUUGGCGGGGACAGUGCGGGUGGCUGCCGCUCUUUCAAUUACCGUCACAGGGGAGAGGAAGGUGUCAACUGCUCCAGCCUCCCUGAUGGUGAAGCUCCAGGAGCCCAAGGCCUUCUGAGCUGCAGGACCCAGCUUACCUGUCACCACAGUCUCGCAGUUACCAGGGGGACUCGUGACAGCAGUGCCCCAUCCUCACAACAAGGCUGUGUAUGAGGAUCCUGGGGCUGCUGUAAGGAGUUUCCACAAAUUUAGCAGCUUGGAACAACAUGUUCGUUCUCUCACUGUCCUGGAGGCUGGAAGUGUGGGCUGAAAUGACAGCGUCAGCAGGCUGUGCUUCUGAAAGCUCCAGGGAACCGUUCCUCGCCCCCAUCCUCUGGGGGUGGGAGUGUGCCGAGGCUUGCGGCCCUGUCACCCGGGCUUCCGGACAGCAUCGAGCCUCUUCUGAUGCCACUUCUAUCGCUGUGUACCAGCAGGUCAGGUCUCCCUCUCGGAAGGAUGCAGGUUCUGGUGUUUAGGGCCUGUUAGAUAAUCCGGGGUAAUCGCUCACCUUAAAAUCCGCACCUGCCCAUAUUUGUAAAGACUUCUCCAAGGUCACGAUGGCUGAUUGGCUGCACACUGCCUGGAACCCAGGUGCUGGGAAAGGGGGCCUGCUCCUCCCGGGAGGAAGGCCCUUCCAGACUCCAGGCAAGGCCCGCUACCGGAAGGGGAGGGCCGCCUGGGCGCAGGAGACGGGCAGGACAGCCGCGGCUGGCGGGGACGCCGAAGCUGGAGUGUGCUGGGCUCUGCCAGCUUGGGCAGGGUCCAAGGACACCAGGGGAAAGAUGCUCAUGAGCUGGGUUUGCAGCCGGCAUCCGGGCCUGACCUUCGGGUGACGCUCCGACUAAUCAGGAUGAGUCUGGGGCUCCCCUCUGCACGCCCCCAAAUCUUGGCCAAACCCAGUCACUGCACCAUGAUUCCAUCUCAGAACCAGAGACUUCAUGCUGCCAGCGCUUCAUGCUGUUGCCUCUUCUCUUUGUUUUUCUCCUUUGCCUUUCUCUUGCCUACCUCCUCAUCCUCAUUGCUUCCUUCUCCUUCAAGCAACUGCUUUGCUUUUAUUUCAGGACCCCUGAAAUGUGGGGGAUACAUUUGUCUUUCUUGCUUUGGCCACUAGGAAGCUCAAACCCAGCCAGCAACCCAACUCGACCCAACUCUACAGAAUGUGACUUGUUGUAAGUUAAGAAAACUCAGCGUCCCUUCCUUUUCUACCCUUGCCUUUCUUGGUCCCGACUUUGCAUCUAUCCAUUGUAUCUGAUU